rnacentral:pre_miRNA from 1 species
UAGGUUUGUCCUAAGUCAAACUUCUUUAAGUUUGACCAUGUAUAUACAAAAAUAGAUUGACAUCUACAACAUCAAAUAAACAUAGUAUGAACAUAUAUUUUAUGAUGAAUGUAAUGAGACUAAUUUUGUGUUGUAUAUGUUAUAUUUUUUGUCAGACUUGGUCAAACUUAAAGAUCUUUGACUUAGGACAAACUAGA